UACGGAAGGCAGCAGUGGGGAAUAUUGCACAAUGGGCGCAAGCCUGAUGCAGCCAUGCCGCGUGUAUGAAGAAGGCCUUCGGGUUGUAAAGUACUUUCAGCGGGGAGGAAGGCGAUGCGGUUAAUAACCGCGUCGAUUGACGUUACCCGCAGAAGAAGCACCGGCUAACUCCGUGCCAGCAGCCGCGGUAAUACGGAGGGUGCAAGCGUUAAUCGGAAUUACUGGGCGUAAAGCGCACGCAGGCGGUCUGUUUAAGUCAGAUGUGAAAUCCCCGGGCUUAACCUGGGAACUGCAUUUUGAAACUGGCAGGCUUGAGUCUUGUAGAGGGGGUAGAAUUCCAGGUGUAGCGGUGAAAUGCGUAGAGAUCUGGAGGAAUACCGGUGGCGAAGGCGGCCCCUGGGACAAAGCUGACGCUCAGGU
rnacentral:rRNA from 1 species